AGCGGCGGACGGGUGAGUAACGCGUGGGUAACCUGCCUCAUACAGGGGGAUAACAGUUGGAAACGGCUGCUAAUACCGCAUAAGCGCACAGUACCGCAUGGUACGGUGUGAAAAACUCCGGUGGUAUGAGAUGGACCCGCGCCUGAUUAGGUAGUUGGUGGGGUAACGGCCUACCAAGCCGACGAUCAGUAGCCGACCUGAGAGGGUGACCGGCCACAUUGGGACUGAGACACGGCCCAA
rnacentral:rRNA from 1 species